GAUGAACGCUGGCGGCGUGCCUAAUACAUGCAAGUCGAGCGAACAGACGAGGAGCUUGCUCCUCUGACGUUAGCGGCGGACGGGUGAGACACACGUGUAUAACCUACCUAUAUGACUGGGAUAACUUCGGGAAACCGGAGCUAAUACCGGAUAAUAUAUUGAACCGCAGGGUUCAAUAGCGAAAGACGGUUUUGCUGUCACUUAUAGAUGGAUCCGCGCCGUAUUAGCUAGUUGGUAAGGUAACGGCUUACCAAGGCGACGAUGCGUAGCCGACCUGAGAGAGUGAUCGGCCACCCUGGAGCUGAGACACGGUCCAGACUCCUACGGGAGGCAGCAGUAGGGAAUCUUCCGCAAUGGGCGAAAGCUUGACGGAGCAACGCCGCGUGAGUGAUGAAGGUCUUCGGAUCGUAAAACUCUGUUAUUAGGGAAGAACAAAUGUGUAAGUAACUAUGCACGGCUUGACGGUACCGAAUCAGAAAGCCACGGCUAACUACGUG
rnacentral:rRNA from 1 species